GGGGGUGUUACGGCUUUGACAGAAAAUGGGUCAAACCAAAUGCAUAUUGCAGGUUCGUCUGCAUUACCAACGAAAAUUAAAUGUAAACGCAAACAAAAACGUUUCUAAUUACGCAAGUGUUAACACAGUUUACGCUUAUGCGUAAUUGCUUGAUUUAAGUUUUAUUAAAUCUGCCAGUUGUGUGUUGGAUAGUACCUAAGGCAUACAAUAUGGUAUCAACCCAUUAGGUUACUCGCACAAAAAGUGUUUAAGGUUUUGUGCCGUAUUAAAUUAAACUUUGCAUAUUGCACCUGUUGCUUGGUUAGCCUUAUGCAAGAUUAUAAAGCAACUAAAUAUGUAGAUGUUGGUUUGAUAGUUUUUUGGACAUGGGUUCAACUCCCAUCAUCUCCACCA
rnacentral:tmRNA from 1 species